UCAAAAAUGCUAAGCAUUGCAUGGGCAAUUUCGUCGAAAUUUCCGGUUGCUAGUGCAAGAACGGUAGGACCAGCACCAGAAAGACAAAUGCCGCACAAACCAGGUUGAGUGUCAGGGUUAAGAGUUGCAAGAAUGUUCUGCAAGCCUGGGAUCAACGAAGCACGAUAUGGUUGGUGAACUUUAUCCUUCAUCACUUCAUAAACUAAAUGAGGAUUUAUGGGAGUUUGGCCUAACGCAGUUGUGAGCAAAGCCAAGCGUUGCAAAUUAUAAACCACAUCAGUUCUACCAUAAGAAGUAGGAAGCACACUCCGUGCUUUAGAAGUUGCUAAAUGGAAUUCAGGGAUUACGACAAUUGCCUUUAAUUCAGAAGCCCAUGGAAGCCUGGCAAAAGUACCUAAAGACUUGGGAGGUAAAGUUAAGGCUUCGUUUUUCAAUAAAUCAUCAGCAGAUGGAGAAAAUGCAUUCUUUUCUUCCUCAGAUAGUUCUCUGAGAAAUGAACCUACGAAUCCACCCAUCAUGGACGCCAUUACAUUGUCUGGGUGUCUUUCUAUCAUUAGAACAUAAUCCAUCAUUUGCAGUUUGGAUAGACCAAGUUUUGCAAUCUCGUUUGCAAGCAUAACACCUGCAAUGGCAGCCGAUCCACUAGAUCCCAUACCACGACCGAGAGGAAUGGGAUUUAUAACGUGUAUUUUGGUAGCAUAGGGAAAUGUAGAAAUGUUGUUGCAACGUAAGACAUAUAAAGAGGUUUGUGUUAUCAUGUUUUUCUGGACAUCCAAGGAAACGUGUUCCUUACCGUCUCCUUCAUAUGUCAAGACACAAGGUCCGCUUUCUGUGGAUACUUCCACAUCAAGGGUCAUGUAUUCCUCAAGAGACAUUCCCAAGACAUCGAAACCAGGUCCAAUGUUAGCGGACGAAGCUGGAAC